rnacentral:sRNA from 1 species
AAAUCACUGAGCUAUUGAACAAGACAGACAACCGCCCCCUAAAGAAACUGGAGGCCCAAGAAACAUUGAAUGAGGAGGAUAAAGCAAAGAUUGCUAAAAGCAAGAAGAAGAUGAGGCAGAAGGUUCAACGAGGAGAGUGUCAGACUACUAUCCAAGGGCAGCACCCUUGUCUGUUUUUGAAUCCUAGCCCAAGCAGAGAUGCUUUCAGAGUUUGAGGAGAAAUGACUUCCCUUAUGGUUUACAGGCCAGAAAUAAGCGGAAACAAGAGACCAAGAGCUUAAAGCAGAAGGAAGCUAAGAAGAAAUCCAAGGCUGAGAAAGAAAAGGGAAAGACAAAGCAGGAAAAACUGAAGGAAAAAGUCAAGAGGGAAAAGAAGGAAAAGGUAAAAAUGAAGGAAAAAGAGGAGGUGACCAAAGCCAAGCCAGCCUGUAAAGCAGAUAAGACCCUGGUCACACAGAGGCGCUUGGAGGAACGGCAGAGGCAACAGAUGAUCUUGGAGGAAAUGAAGAAGCCGACAGAGGAUAUGUGUCUGACUGACCACCAGCCCCUGCCUGACUUCUCACGAGUCCCUGGUCUGACAUUGCCCAGUGGAGCCUUCUCAGACUGCUUGACCAUUGUGGAGUUCCUGCAUAGCUUUGGCAAGGUGCUGGGCUUUGA